UACGGGGGGGGCAAGCGUUGUUCGGAAUUACUGGGCGUAAAGAGCGCGCAGGCGGCUGGGCAAGUCCGAUGUGAAAGCUUCCGGCUUAACUGGAAAAUUGCAUCGGAAACUGCUCGGCUUGAAGGUGGGAGAGGGUAGCGGAAUUCCCGGUGUAGCGGUGGAAUGCGCAGAUAUCAGGAGGAACACCAACGGCGAAGGCAGCUCGCUGGGACGGUACUGGCGCUGAGGCGCGAAAGCGUGGGGAGCGAACAGG
rnacentral:rRNA from 1 species